UGUCUGGGAAACUGCCUGAUGGAGGGGGAUAACUACUGGAAACGGUAGCUAAUACCGCAUAACGUCGCAAGACCAAAGAGGGGGACCUUCGGGCCUCUUGCCAUCGGAUGUGCCCAGAUGGGAUUAGCUAGUAGGUGGGGUAAAGGCUCACCUAGGCGACGAUCCCUAGCUGGUCUGAGAGGAUGACCAGCCACACUGGAACUGAGACACGGUCCAGACUCCUACGGGAGGCAGCAGUGGGGAAUAUUGCACAAUGGGCGCAAGCCUGAUGCAGCCAUGCCGCGUGUAUGAAGAAGGCCUUCGGGUUGUAAAGUACUUUCAGCGGGGAGGAAGGGAGUAAAGU
rnacentral:rRNA from 1 species